CCUACGGGAGGCAGCAGUGAGGAAUAUUGGUCAAUGGGCGCGAGUCUGAACCAGCCAAGUAGCGUGAAGGAUGACUGCCCUACGGGUUGUAAACCUCUUUUAUAAAGGAAUAAAGUGAGGCACGUGUGCCUUUUUGUAUGUACUUUAUGUAUAAGGAUAGGCUAACUUCGUUCCAGCAGCCGAGGCAAUACGGUGGAUCCGUGGGUUGUCCGGAUUUAUUGGGUUUAAAGGGAGCGUAGAUGGGUUUUUAAGUCAGUUGUGAAAGUUUGCGGCUCAACCGGAACAUUGCAAUUGAUACUGGCAGUCUUGAGUGCAGUUGAGGAAGGCGGAAUUCGUGGUGUAGCGGUGAAAUGCGUAGAUAUCACGAAGAACUCCGAUUGCGAAGGCAGCUUACUAAACUGCAACUGACAUUGAUGCUCGAAAGUGUGGGUAUCAAACAGGAUUAGAUACCCCAGUAAUC
rnacentral:rRNA from 1 species